rnacentral:rRNA from 1 species
UACGUAGGGUGCAAGCGUUGUCCGGAAUUAUUGGGCGUAAAGAGCUCGUAGGCGGUCUGUUGCGUCGGCUGUGAAAACCCGAGGCUCAACCUCGGGCCUGCAGCCGAUACGGGCAGACUAGAGUUCGGCAGGGGAGACUGGAAUUCCUGGUGUAGCGGUGAAAUGCGCAGAUAUCAGGAGGAACACCGGUGGCGAAGGCGGUUCUCUGGGAAUGUCCUGACGCUGAGGAGCGAAAGUGUGGGGGAGCGAACAGG